AUGGCCUACGGGGGGCAGCAGUGGGGAAUGUUGCACAAUGGGGGAAACCCUGAUGCAGCGACGCCGCGUGAGCGAAGAAGUAUUUCGGUAUGUAAAGCUCUAUCAGCAGGGAAGAAAAAUGACGGUACCUGAGUAAGAAGCACCGGCUAAAUACGUGCCAGCAGCCGCGGUAAUACGUAGGGAGCAAGCGUUAUCCGGAUUUAUUGGGUGUAAAGGGUGCGUAGACGGGAGUGCAAGUUAGUUGUGAAAUCCCUCGGCUUACCUGAGGAACUGCAGCUAAAACUACAUUUCUUGAGUGCUGGAGG
rnacentral:rRNA from 1 species